rnacentral:lncRNA from 1 species
GCGCAGCCUCUGCUUAUCACAGGGGAAUAAGGAAUACUCAUCCCUAACUGCUUAUUGACUUCUAUCCCGUGUUAGAGCUGUUUGGAAGUCUCUGAGUUAUAACGGCCUAAUAGUUUGAUAUUGGUCCUUGAAGCAGUUCAAUCUCUGAAUUGGCUCAGCAGUUCUGUUUUACAGCUGCAACUCUCUGGGCCAGUAAAAAAAGACAGAUUUCUAAUUUUUCCUUUCAUUCCAUGGACACCUGAGUGCUGGUUCUGUGUCAGACUCUGUGCUGUGAUACAGAGAUGAGGGCCUGAAUCUUGAAUGAUGUACUGCUCCCAGAGUGGCUAGCAUGUGUGUGGGGGUUACUUUUUGAGAAAGUCAUGGUUUUUCAGAGCCACAUUAUUGGAACCCAGUUUCCUUAAAUCAGUGUGGUGCCCAUAGUCACUCAGCCAGAAGGAUCACGUGAUCAGCCUGAAGGUACACUCAAGUGAGGUACUCACAUCCUUAGCCCACCAUAGGCCCCUAUGUCAGUCACCACAAUGGCGAGAUUUGAAAAGCGGAGGCAUAUACAAUUUUUGUCUUAGUAUAAUAUCAAUAUAUGUAUACUUUGGGGUUCAGGCACUUACUAAAUGUUGUUCCAUUCUUUUGUCUUGCUGUAUCAA